CCAAUAUUUGUAAAAAUUGCACUCGAAUUUCAGUAUUGAAGUUAGGCCUACUAUGUUUUCGUGCAAUCUAAAUUUCUGGGUGUUACUAAAACAUGGUGUAAUAAUUGCAGCUCUGUAGACACCGAUUUGUUAGGGAAACACAAAAUAGAUUGACCAAUCGUUAUAGCUAGAUGUUUCAAAUAUAUACUUACUGGGAGUAUAUCUGGUGUUUGACUAACUUAAAAAUGGUAUAAACAUUUACACUAAAUCAGUGCGUACAGAGAUGCAAUUAUUUAUACCGCUUUCGUGUUGUGUACCAACAGCCAGUGCGUUAAAAUAUCAUCUACUUUAAAUUUUAAUUAAAACGUAUUGUUCCGCAAUAUCGCAUACCACAAACAAAUACAUCGUAAACAACUGAACAUAAACCAGCAAUAAAUACCAAGUUACGACUUUAAAUUAUGUUGUAAUUGUAUUAUAGUAUUUAGAAAAGAUCUGACAGGUGGCGCAUUUGCUUGAGUUCGUCGAAUCGUUGGCGAAUAUUACUAAUAUACAUCCAACUAUAACCAUGCAUGUUGCGAAGCAUAGUAUAACCGAGUCACGGGCUCGCGACUUCCGUAUGAUAUUGCAAUAAAGAAUGACCAAUUGUACAAGUUUAUAGUCUACUUACAUAGUCAAAUGUCUAAUGGUGAUAUUGCAUAAAGCAGAAGUUGGCAGGUGGAUCUGUGACAUGCUAUUUCCCCGAAAUACGUAGCACGAAUGAAGAACGUAACAUGAACUCUCGAA